CAAUAGCGUAUAUUAAAGUUGUUGCAGUUAAAAAGCUCGUAGUUGGAUUUCUGGUUGAAGCGACCGGUCGGGCGUUGAUUCGUCUGCACUGGAGUCGGUUUUGGCCAUCCUCUAGGAAAGUGCGUCUGGUAUUAAGUUAUCGGGCGUAUGAUCCUGGUCUUUUACUGUGAAAAAAUUAGAGUGUUUAAAGCAGGCCUUCGCCUUGAAUACAUUAGCAUGGAAUAAUAAGAUAGGACUUUGGUCUAUUUUGUUGGUUUGCAGACCGAAGUAAUGAUUAAUAGGGAUAGUUGGGGGUAUUUAUAUUCCGAUGUCAGAGGUGAAAUUCUUGGAUUUAUGAAAGAUGAACAACUGCGAAAGCAUUUACCAAGGAUGUUUNCAUUAA
rnacentral:rRNA from 1 species